rnacentral:rRNA from 1 species
UACAGAGGGUGCGAGCGUUAAUCGGAAUUACUGGGCGUAAAGCGCACGUAGGCGGCUUGGUAUGUCGGGUGUGAAAUCCCCGGGCUCAACCUGGGAACUGCAUCCGAAACUGCCUUGCUCGAGUAUGGGAGAGGGAAGUGGAAUUUCCGGUGUAGCGGUGAAAUGCGUAGAUAUCGGAAGGAACAUCAGUGGCGAAGGCGGCUCUCUGGGACGGUACUGACGCUGAGACGCGAAAGCGUGGGGAGCAAACAGG